GACGAACGCUGGCGGCGUGCUUAACACAUGCAAGUCGAACGGAAAGGCCCAGCUUGCUGGGUACUCGAGUGGCGAACGGGUGAGUAACGCGUGGGUGAUCUGCCCUGCACUCUGGGAUAAGCCUGGGAAACUGGGUCUAAUACCGGAUAUGAUCAACUGUCGCAUGGUGGUUGGUGGAAAGCUUUUGCGGUGUGGGAUGGGCGCGCGGCCUAUCAGCUUGUUGGUGGGGUAAUGGCCUACCAAGGCGACGAAGGGUAGCCGACCUGAGGGGGUGGCCGGCCACACUGGGACUGAGACACGGACCAGAGUCCUACGGGAGGCAGCAGUGGGGAAUAUUGCACAAUGGGCGCAAGCCUGAUGCAGCGACGCCGCGUUAGGGAUGACGGCCUUCGAGUUGUAAACCUCUUUAUCCAGGGACGAAGCGUGAGUGACGGUACCUGGAGAAGAAGCACCGGCCAACUACGUGCCAGCCGCCGCGGUAA
rnacentral:rRNA from 1 species